GGACGGUGCCCCAUGGAGUGUUAGCUUCCGAAAGCAGAAACCUUGGUAAGGAUUUGGAUGGACAGGAUUUGAGUUUUGAAUUCAUAGAGAGUAAGAAGUGGAAGACAUCAGCCAGCAUGACAGUUACAAUACUGUUUUUCAUAAAUUGAAGUUUCUAUCCUGGAGAGGAUCAGACUCUCCUAAGAAACUCAACUAUUGUGACUUUUGAAAAAUGAGCUUUUUGACCCUGUGAUUGGAGAAAGAGCUUGGAGAAAGAUUCAAAAGCUCAGAGGUCAAAAGGCAAACAGAAAGGUAUCUACAUUUGCCAUCGAAAAGCUGUAUUUGGGGAAGAAAUGUAUUAGCUGCAUAUCUGAGGCUGUAACUACUGGUAUGAUAUAUCAACCUGCUCCCUCUUGAGAGCAAGAAGCAUACAAAUAGUGAUCAUAUAACACUGAUCUGUAUUAGUAGGAAUACUAAGUACCUCGCUUUUGUCAAUGAAAUCAAUGUAAAUUAACACUGGGCAGGAGUUGGAUUUUUAUUUCCUUUAGCAUAGUGCAAUA